ACCAAGAAGACCAUUCUGAUGGAUUCAAGAGAAUCAAAAGUGAAGAAUCAAGUUACAAUAAAUAUGUCGAUUACAAAUAUGCCUACAGAUACACAAGUGGUUUUCAGAUAUCUUUGCUUGAUUUGGAUCUGCUCAGAGAAAAAGGAUGGCCACAUUUAUAUGGUAGUUACUUCCAUGUCACAAAGGUGCUCUUCAGUAGGUACUGCAUAAUCACAUUGAAGUUCAUCACAACAUUCACAUUCUUAGUGUUGUUAUCAUAUCAUAUAUCAUAUAUCUCUUCAGUGUUUGAUCACAAUUUAGAUAAUUGAUCUGAUGUUGCUCAUCUUUCAGUAGACGUAUUUUAAAAUUUAUGUUUAGUACUAGAAUUCUGUUUUCAAUUCAGUUUCACAUCAUCGUGUCACUAAAAAUUUCAACAUGGUAUGCUUGUUCGUUUAGACUAGACAACUUUAUGAAAAUGCAGCAUCGGCAUCAGUAUGCUGCCAUUGAUCGUAUUGCCAAGCUUUGUGAUACAUCAUCUGACACAACAUCAUAUAGUCAAUAUGAUGCCCUAUGCACACUGCCCAUUAACUGAAUUAAUAGAAUGUUCAUUGUUUUCUUCCAUGUGUAUGCCUUGGGGUGUGGUUCUUAUGAACACUUAUUUGCAGGUUUAUGGAUUCCUUCUAGAGUUUGAGAAAUUUUAAUGAGAAUUUGUUUGACAGAAACGGGAGGAGGGGCCAUUAGGAUAAUUUUUACGUAGAAGAGAUCUCGGGCAGACUGGAACCUAUGGACCAAAACUGGGGCAAGAGUUCAGUAGCUUUGCUAUUGUUGUUCUGGAACUCUUUAUGUCGUGAAAUAGCUAGGAAAAUUGCAUUGGUGCACUUUGUAUAAUUUGGGGUCGAUCGAGACAAUAUUGUAAGAAAACGGGCCUUAAGGUUUGCAUCGUUUGUAUUAAGGCUGUUCCUUAUUUCAAACGAACAUGCUUUAGAGGUGUUUUUACAGAUGUGCUCCUGCUUCUAUCUACUGAUCAAAUGACUUUCUAUUUCAAUGUUUUCUGCCAAUAUAUUAUUCAGGAGUAAUGAGUGAUAAGAAUAAGAUAAG
rnacentral:lncRNA from 1 species